rnacentral:rRNA from 1 species
UGCAGUCGAGGGGCAGCAUUUCAGUUUGCUUGCAAACUGGAGAUGGCGACCGGCGCACGGGUGAGUAACACGUAUCCAACCUGCCGAUAACUCGGGGAUAGCCUUUCGAAAGAAAGAUUAAUACCCGAUGGCAUAAUAAAACCGCAUGGUUUUUUUAUUAAAGAAUUUCGGUUAUCGAUGGGGAUGCGUUCCAUUAGGCAGUUGGUGAGGUAACGGCUCACCAAACCUUCGAUGGAUAGGGGUUCUGAGAGGAAGGUCCCCCACAUUGGAACUGAGACACGGUCCAAACUCCUACGGGAGGCAGCAGUGAGGAAUAUUGGUCAAUGGGCGCAGGCCUGAACCAGCCAAGUAGCGUGAAGGAUGACUGCCCUAUGGGUUGUAAACUUCUUUUAUAUGGGAAUAAAGUUUUCCACGUGUGGAAUUUUGUAUGUACCAUAUGAAUAAGGAUCGGCUAACUCCGUGCCAGCAGCCGCGGUAAUACGGAGGAUCCGAGCGUUAUCCGGAUUUAUUGGGUUUAAAGGGAGCGUAGGUGGACAGUUAAGUCAGUUGUGAAAGUUUGCGGCUCAACCGUAAAAUUGCAGUUGAUACUGGCUGUCUUGAGUACAGUAGAGGUGGGCGGAAUUCGUGGUGUAGCGGUGAAAUGCUUAGAUAUCACGAAGAACUCCGAUUGCGAAGGCAGCUCACUGGACUGCAACUGACACUGAUGCUCGAAAGUGUGGGUAUCAAACAGGAUUAGAUACCCUGGUAGUCCACACAGUAAACGAUGAAUACUCGCUGUUUGCGAUAUACAGUAAGCGGCCAAGCGAAAGCAUUAAGUAUUCCACCUGGGGAGUACGCCGGCAACGGUGAAACUCAAAGGAAUUGACGGGGGCCCGCACAAGCGGAGGAACAUGUGGUUUAAUUCGAUGAUACGCGAGGAACCUUACCCGGGCUUAAAUUGCAUUUGAAUAUAUUGGAAACAGUAUAGCCGUAAGGCAAAUGUGAAGGUGCUGCAUGGUUGUCGUCAGCUCGUGCCGUGAGGUGUCGGCUUAAGUGCCAUAACGAGCGCAACCCUUAUCUUUAGUUACUAACAGGUCAUGCUGAGGACUCUAGAGAGACUGCCGUCGUAAGAUGUGAGGAAGGUGGGGAUGACGUCAAAUCAGCACGGCCCUUACGUCCGGGGCUACACACGUGUUACAAUGGGGGGUACAGAAGGCAGCUACCUGGUGACAGGAUGCUAAUCCCAAAAGCCUCUCUCAGUUCGGAUCGAAGUCUGCAACCCGACUUCGUGAAGCUGGAUUCGCUAGUAAUCGCGCAUCAGCCAUGGCGCGGUGAAUACGUUCCCGGGCCUUGUACACACCGCCCGUCAAGCCAUGAAAGCCGGGGGUACCUGAAGUACGUAACCGCAAGGAGC